rnacentral:sRNA from 2 species
AACCCGCCAGGCGCUGGCCACUCCACGAUUCCCUAGCACCAAGCCAUUUUGCUGUGGCUAGCUUAGGGAUUUCUAUUCUCCCAAGAAGCCUCGUCGCGAGUCGUGCAGUUUUUGGAACAGCAAAUAAAUGGCUCCUAAAACCCGUUCUUCCCGCGCCCCUUCCCGCAACGCCUCCCGUCCCUCCACUCCUCUAGAUACGUCUUCACUAUUUCAUUCUUCAUCCGUCUCAGAGGCGACAAGGCCUAGGAAACAACGAAAAUCUGCCCACAACGCACGUGGCGCUACGGAUUUGUCUCAGGAGUCCCCGCUAGGUCAGGAGACAAAGACCACCUCACCAUA